CUAUUCUCUCACCCACAUUAUCGGUGCUAAAGGGAAAUGUACAGCAUCAAUGAGGACUUUGCUAUGAGGCUGUGAAGUGUGUUCAAGCAGCUUCCCACCCUGCUCCCAGUUCUGUCUUACAUGUUCUGCUCCUGAUUCUGCUGAUUAGCACAUAUUAAAGUUUUAACAUCCGAUCCUGGAAUUUCCUCCUUGCUUCAGAAGAGCAAAGCAAAAAACAGUAUGAAGAAUACAUUUCAUUCAAAUGAAUUGUCAUCCAUUGAGCAGAGGCAAAAAUACCAAAAACAUCUUAAGAAGGACAAAAAGACAGCAGAAGACAUCACUGGUGUAGGGAAUUGCUCCCCUCCGUGGAGGCUCAUCUCUAGUGUGCUCUUUGUGGUCUGCCUUCUCCUGAUGGCUGUAGCCAUGGUGAUGACCAUUUUCACCACAAGGUUAUCUUCUGAAAGAUCAUCUUCUAAUAUUCAUCAGGAAGGAUUUCUUCUCUUUGAAGUCUUUCUUUUGGGUUGGAGUUUACUACGAUGAAACCAGCAAACAGUGGCUGUGGGACGACCAUUCAGUUCUACCCAGUGGGAUGUUUUCUGGUCUUGAAUCUAGUCCGAAAAACUUCUGUGCAUCUUAUAAAUCAAAAGAAGCCUAUUUGGCAGAAAACUGUUCAACCAAACUAAUGUACAUUUGCAAGAAGUAGCAUAUAUAAUCCUAUAAGUUCAUAAAAGAUAUGAAAAUUAAAGUCUUAAUUUUUGUCUGGAGUGCUUACUUUAGGAAGGAAAUGUGGCAAAUGGUUACUUUUGCUUAAAUAAAAUUGUAUUCAAAUAUA
rnacentral:lncRNA from 1 species